AGGUGAUGGUGAGAGACAUUUCUUUGUAGAUCCUUAAACCGCUCUCAAGCUUCAUUCAAAGAUUCACCAUCGUAUUGCAUGAAGUCGAUGAUUUCCUUGGUCAAUCU